rnacentral:tRNA from 1 species
GCGAAGAUAGCCUAUUGGUUAGGCACUGGGCUUCAGACUCAGAUUGGACACCAAUCCAGAUAAGCGGGUUCGAUUCCCGUUCUUCGCU